rnacentral:rRNA from 1 species
GCUCUGAAUAUCUAUGGCUAGAUAAAGUACAAGUCGUAACAAGGUUUCAGUUGGAGAGCCAGCUGAAGGAUCAUUU